UGGGUUAAACCACCACAAUACUGCUGCUGAGCAGACAUUUCUAUCUAAUCAGCUGGUGUAAUGAAGCAAUUUGCCUAAUGGUUGAGUACAUGAAAUGUUUGGGUUCGGUCUCCAUGACAACCAGCUGUUCAUAAUUAGUUCAUCAAGAAGGGCAGGGUAGUGGCUGCAUGUCAAGAGGUUGUAAGGUGCUUGAAUCAUUUGGUCAUCAGGUUGUUUGGGUCGAUACCACUGAAACAAUGCAUCGACCUCUGCCCAUAUAUCUAAGUGUCCUUUUGAUUGGCACUGUCUUUGCUGGAGGUUCCUGGUGUGACAACAUGGCAAGAGCCUGAGCAGCUGCCCUGGGUUUGGACCUCCUUAGGACCCAGUUUGUCCCUUACAAUCUUCGACCAACACGCCAUAGGCCAUCCAACUGACUGGGCCUAUGGACAAGUCUUUGCCAGAGGCUUUCAACCCAAACCGUCUACAUUAAACUAUCACGGUUCUGAUCCCAGUUUGGCUGACUCCUCUGUCAGGCAUUCUGUCUACACUCCCAAGGGAGAACUUGUUAGCAGCCACAAGCCCAACUUUGAGCAGGUCGAGAAUUCUGCGCCUCGAUCAAAUGUAAUGGUAGCCCCUGGUCAGUUUGAGUACUCGGAGAAAGCAGCCAUUCGAGGUUACUAUAAUCCUGUUGUAGUUCAGCCUGUCCCCAGCAGACGUAGAACAGCCCAGAGUGUGGUUUCGCGACCCCAGAGCAGAGGUGCUGUACCCUAUGGAAAAAGUAUUCUAUGGUCCUGGCCACAGAGACUUAUCCUCUCCACCAUCCUAGAGUGGACUCAUCAGCCCCCGAGCUGAUGAGUCCCAGGCCCUGGGGUUGUCCAUUCUGUCAUCAAAGAGCUGAAAAUGAAGUGUCACAAAAAACAGGAUUCUGUUGGUUAAGAUUGUAACGGACAAACUUUCCUUUGCAAACCACCUUUGUCUGAGGAGCCAAACAUACCAGUGGUGAGCAAAUCGGUAACCUUGUGCACUUUUAAGGGCAAAACAUGUAAGCUGUGUUUGAAUUCCAGUGCAUUUACUUAUCCAUGACAUCACUAUUUGGUUAUGGCUCUUCCCCCACUGUCCAGUGUUUAUCCUUCAAAUAAAAUGUCUGUUUUUGAGAUAUAUUAUUACUUGACAACAUUCAACUGAUAGACCAAGUAAAGAAUAACAAUGUGCUACAUUUAUAGAAUUUUGGUUUAAGACCAGUUAUCCAGCAGUAAGCAAUGCACCAGAAGUGUUGUUUAAAAUAUACUUUGAACAGAAGAUGUCAUUUUGUUAAAUUGUUCAGUUUGCUUUUGACCUACAACUUUUGAUUACCUCUUAAGUGAUUAUGUCCCUGUAAACCAAUUUGAUAGAAACUCAACCAGAGGUUGUCUCUAAAUAAAUGUGACGCCUACACCAAAGAUUGUGGAUAAAUGAAAAUGGUUCACCUAAGCUGUUUAAAUAUAUAUAUAUUCCGGUAAGUGGG
rnacentral:lncRNA from 1 species